CAUCUUUUCAGGUCUUCUCAGCUUUCGAUUAAGAACCAGCAACUGUAGUGGAGAUUCACUGCACACCAGAAUGAUGUCUCUCUAUGGCCUAACUGUGGUGAAGAUCUUAACACAUGAUGAGAGAAAGCAUCACCCGGAGUGUGCAUUUCUGCUCUACAACAUGACUGCUGCUGUCCAAACUGACAUCUUCAGCUGAGAAACAAAGGGGUGAGUCAGUCCAGAAUGAACCUUCCAUGGCAUCAGUUUGGACCAGCACUGUUAUUUGGCUCCUGCUGAGGAAAAAGGACCAGCCUCAUUGGCGACUGUUUAAUCCUGAUUUAUUUUCUGCCCUAAGUGUCUUUCAGAUAACAUGACUUUUUCCCAGGCUGCUGGAAUUUAGACUCAUCCCUUAAGUAUGUACCAGAUAAAUAUAGGGAAUAGGUAUCUCUGCCCUCUUUCUAUGCUUUGAAGCCUCCACAGUCAAAGGUUCCUAGAAGAGAACGUGUCAAGAUAGUAUCUACUCUAAACCCAGUGACUUGUUCCAGUGGCUGUUGUAUCCAAGUGCAGACGUCAUUGCUCAUGAGCAUGUUGGUCCUCAGUGUAGAAGAACCUAGAAGAACUGCAUAAUGGAGUAGUCCAAUCAAUACUGAUAAACACAGAAUUUCUUUGAAGAUCUGUAUUCCACGAGAAAAAAGAUGAGUACAUCUGUUUUCAUGAGGACAAAAAAGAAAUGGUACUAGUCAUAAUAUUCUUGUCAUUCAUGCCCCUGGCCAGCUACAAAAGGAGCAGUAACUGUGCAGGUUAUGGACCUAUUUUGUAUAAUACGUACUUCUUUUCAUUAUUCAGUCAAUUCAGUCAUACAUAUAUACAUAAACAUCAUCAAUCUCUUGCUUAAAAGUUAACCCAGACUACAUAUUCAGGCAACCUUUCUGUCUUCCUAGCAAAGCUGAGCCAGUAGACUGAAAUGGAAAGGCAGAAUCAUGAACCAGUGUUCCUUAUUGACAAACAACCUCUCAAAGGGCCUUGGGACAUGGUGACAAUCAACCACCUAGUCAAUUGUCUUUAGAAUGAAAAAUGAGCAGUAGUGGGAGUUGGAACUGGAGCCCUGAUAACUUCUAAGAUAGUGAUCUCUAUCUUAUUUCAUUUAUUAGCCUUUAGUCUUGAAAAAGGAAAUGAUAAAUUCCCUUGUAGUGAGUGAGAAAAGGCAAUUCUACCUGUCUCUAGUUGGCUCUUUGAAAGCAGCUGCUCAGAAGAUGAAUUUCAUCCCAGUCUGUAGUUUAGAUUAAGGCAUGGUUGUCCAACUUUUUGGCUUGCCUGGGCUGCACUGAAUGAAGAGGAAUUCUCUAGGGGAUGCAUCUACAAAGGUUGCUCUGAAAGUAACGCCUCCUAAUUAUUUCCAUGGAAAUUACAACUGAUACAAACAGCACAAUAACACUAUUUAAUAUAGCAAAUUUUCAGCUACAAAACAGUCUUUUUCAGCACAGUCACCACCACUAGCUAUGCAUUUUCACCAGUGAUGAACAAGAGCCUGCAUGGUGUGCCCAUAACAAUCUGCAUAAGCGGAGUUGGCCUACGGCAGCUCUCAUCACUGCUGAAACGCAGCACCCACCACCUCACUGCGCUCACAUCCACACUUUGGUCUCCAUAAAUGUUCAGCAAGUAUCAGUGAAUGUCAGUGUGUGCAAUGAUUUCUGCAUGGAGGAAUUCGGUACCAUAUCGUUGCUUCACACACACUUCCAUGUCAGACACCACUGUGUCAGAUUGCCCCUGUGCUGCUAUCUGUCACAUGGCCACAAAGUGUAAUGGAAUACUAGAGGGGAGGGAAGGUUCAACCUCUAAUGCCAACAUUCAACAUUCCCACCUCUGAUGUAGUGGGCCAUCAUAAAACAGGAGGCAUUACUUUCAGAGCAGCCCUCAUAAAAUAUAGUUAAUAUAUAUAAAUUAACAAAACUUAUUUUACUUUUACAUACACAUAACACCAACAAUACACCGAACAGUUUCACAUGGGCCACUAAACAAAAGUUGGAGGAAAUGGGCUUCUUAUAUUUAUAUAGGUCAGUGCUGCUUUACCACAGACCUUAAAUGGCACACUUCAUCUCUCUGUUGUCAAAAACCUCAAACAUAAAAGCAAUGAGAUGAGCAGACAAAUGAAAUCAAUUUAGUGCAGCAGUAUAAGUGUGUGGGUUGCAUUUCUUACCAAGAUUAAAAAAAGACAGCUAAAUGACUGCUGUGUGUAAAAUGGCUUGUUUGUUUCAUGUGUAUUCAGUAUUGUGUAAGCAAUAUAUCUCUUAUGAGGAGCAACAGUGGAAAUAACUCUUGCAUUUGUUGUUUGACUGUGGUAGGAACAUGAUAGCACAUUUACUGUUAGCAAAAGCUCUAGAUGUCACCCUGAAACUCUCUGAUUCUUUUUCCAUUCUGGGCUCCCCUGAGGUGACAUUUUCAAACCUCUUUGACCUUGAGACAUGCCAACUAUGCAAGUGGCUAUUUGCUUAUGUAAACUUUGCGCUAGCACACACAAGUAUGUAUUACAGCUAUGAGCUGACUUUGUCUGCUUAAAAAUUCCAGCUUGAGUGAAUGUUUCUGCCCAGAGAACCCUUCACACAGAUCUUGAGUGCUGCUGUUAGCAUCAUACCAUGAGCACAAAGAAUUCGAAAACAUAAUGAAUAGAAGAUAAUAUUUUUAACACUACAGUAUAUCGCAGCACCAGGAAGUAAUUAACACACAGUAACUCUUAACCUUAUGAAGUGUUGUACGCCCUCCCUUCAUUCUGUUGAAUAAUGUAGUGCUUCUAAAAUAAAAUAAAAUUUCAGGAUCAGUUAAGAGAGGGUUGUAUGGAACUAUACCACCGCAGUCUGGGACUUGAUCCAAUGUCCAUUUAAAUCUCAUGAGAAGCAGGUGAUGAGUGGUCAUACUGCAUCUCAGGCACAUGCUUCAUCUGUAUGGGAUUCUUAAUUGAAUAGAAAUGUUUUGCCAGAGAAGCAGGCGAAUGAGUGAUUCGCUUAGUCAAGGUCUUUAAAAAAAAAAGAUUAUCCUGUCAGCACAGAAUGGUAAAUACCAUAUGUGGUUUGGUUUCUAAGGUACUUCCUUGUAACUUGAACCAGUUCAGUGCUAAUUCACUGAGGUACGGAUUAAUAUUAAAUAGUUCUGUAUCGAGCCAGCAGCAAUUCAGCUGGCAUUGCAUAGACUUGUCACCUUCAGAUAUCAUGGGUAUCAUACCAGCCCUGCUGACUGGAAUGUUUCACUUGGACUUUUAUUUCUGAGGAUGCAUCAGUUUGACGUACUGAAUAUGAGAUUAAUAAUCUGAAUAUUCCACUUGUUUUCCUUGGGCAUCUAAUUAAAUAAUUUUGAAAAAUUAAUUGCAGUUUUUCUUCCUUUAAUGUUUGAACUCACAGUAAUCUUAUUAAUGCUGAGAUAUGAUACAAUCAUGAAACUAAGCUUUGUUUGAAACUCACUGGGCAAAUUUUGAGGCCCUUGAAGAAGUAAUUAGAUUACCUGCUCAACAAAUGGUGCAUGCAUGCCAAGCGAAAUGAGAGACUGCAAGACACUGGACAAAUACAGGCUUUGUGUAAAAACUGUCUGAGCAGGCAGAUUUGGAUUUAUCUGAAUGGAUUUAUUUACUGUGAUGAUUUAUGCCUUGACUCACUGAAGAACUUAGCAGACGAGGCAUUUCAUAGAUUUGUUUAGGAGUAACCAUGCACUAAUGUUCAUAUACAAACCUCUGCUGAGAAAAAGUUCCCAACCUUGUUGAUUUUUGAUAGAAACUUUCAUCAAUCAAACAUGCAUGGGAACUCUGCACAAUGCACAAUUAGCAGGCAAGAAGAACUGGCCUUGAAUGCUGCGAGUGGUUCUUAAUGAAUAAAGCUACAAAUAAUUGAUAUGAAGAAGGAAAUUUAUUAUCUGACAUUGUUCAAGAAUAAUCCUUACUAAAUCCUGUAAAACCAGGCUGUCAUGGCCCUGAGGGCAUCCACAUGCUGAUGGCUUGGCCGCUGCAGGCUGGUGCUGCGGGCAGCCCUGUCCCUGGUCUGUUAACAGAGCAAAUGUUAGCAUCAAAUAAUUG
ensembl:lncRNA